UGUUAAAAAUUUUAUCCAUUUCUACUGUUAGAAAUAGAGUGGUUGAUAAAAUGACCAGAAAACAUGUACCUCAUUUUGACGUACAAAGAUAAAAUUUUAAUAGUAAAAAUAGAUGAAUUUUUAAUA
rfam:Gossypium arboreum cultivar AKA8401 contig_2200_3, whole genome shotgun sequence.